UUUUUGGGGCCACACCCAAGGCACAUGGAAGUUCCCAGGCUAGGGGCUGAAUCUGAGCUGUAGCUGCUGGCCACAGCCACAGCUACAGCCACGCCAGAUUCAAGCCGAGUCUGAGACCUACACCACAGCUCACCGCAACGCCGGAUCCUUUACCCACUGAGCAAGGCCAGGGAUCAAACCCACAACUUCAUGGUUCCUUGUUGGAUUCAUUUCAGCUGCACCACAACGGGAACUUCUGCAGUUAGAUUCUUAACCCACUGUGCCACAGCAGGAAUUCCCAGAAAAAGACCAUUUCUUUAUAGAAGGAUUGGCAGACAAUGGGCAAGGGCCAAACCUGGCAAACAACUUCUUUGUGUGAAUAAAGUUUUACUGGAACACAGCUAUGCUCAUGUGUUUACAUAUUGACCAGGUCUGCUUUUGUGCAACAAAGGCAGAUUGAGUAGUUGCAACAGCGACCAUGGGGCUUUCAAGGCCUAAAGUAUUUACUAUCAGGCCCUUGACUGAAAAGUUGGCCAACUGCUAUUUUAUAGCAUUGGCUUCUUUCUUCUAAUCCAGGUUUUGGAUGAUAGAAAAGAAAUCUGUCACCUCCUUCAAGUACUUGAAACAACGUCUCUUUCUCCCUUCUUCUUCUUCAGGCUAAAUAGGCAUCUCUCAACUUUUCUUGAAACAGGUUUUCAAGCACCCAUACCAUACUUGCCACACUUCAGCUUGUCGGUUCCCCUUAAAUAACUAUGCUCAAAGCUAUCACAGUCUUCCUUGUGAUCAAUGUGAGAAAACUGGUGAUUCCUUUAACUUGGAUUGUAUAGGUUUUUAACAACCUCAUCCUAGGGAUGGUUUCAAUUAGAAAGGCGAUCGGUUGUAAUCCCCCAGUGUUAUUCUACUGAGAGAGAGCUCCCCAAGAUUCUUCACUCAUUCAUCCAUUCACUCAGCGAACAUGUGAAGUGAUUCCUGGGUUCAAGGCAUUGCAUACAUGGUCAUUCAAAUCUAAAAACAAGAUGCUUAAUUCAUACCUGUUCAGUUCUAUGAACUCCGACUCACAUUCCAGUAUGUCAUCUAUGGCAUUGGCCAUUGUUAAGAUUAUCUGUUAUUCUGCAACAAACUACUCUAAAUGUAAUGUGUAAAUAAAACAAUAAUAAUCUACGUGAUUCAUUAAUAUGCAAUUUGGGCCAAACUCAGCAGAGAAGGCUCAUUUCUGUUCUCCUGGGCAUCAGCUAGCAUCCUCAGGCACUUCCUUCUUCACAUGGUCUCUCCAGCAUGGCCAGGGCAGCCAUCUCAAAGCACGUGACCAGAGUUCCCAUUGUGGCUCGGUGGUAACAAACCUGACUAGUAUCCAUGAGGACACAGUUCGAUCAUUGGCUUUACUCAGUGGGUUAAGGAUCUGGCAUUACCAUGAGGGGUGGUGUAGGUUGCAGACAUGGCUCGGGUCCUGCGUUGCUGUGUUGCUGCGGUCCUGCGUUGUGGUGUAGGCUGGCAGCUGUAGCUCCGAUUUGACCCCUAGCCUGGGAACUUCCAUAUGCCACAGAUGCAGCCAUAAAUAAAAUAAAAUAAAAUAAAAUAAAAUAAAAUAAAAUAAAAUAAAAGCACAUAACCUAAGAGAGAGCUAGACUGAAGUUGCAUGACUGUUUGUAACCCAGUCUUAUAAGUGACUUAAGGUCACAUCGCCCACAUUUUAUCUGCCAGGACAGUCAUAAAUUUCUGCCCCAAUUCAAGCCAGGGGGAGAAUUAGACUUCACCUCUUUUUUUUUUUUUUUUCUUGUUAUUUAUUUAUUUAUUUAUUUAUUUUGUCUUUUUGCUAUUUCUUUGGGCCGCUCCCGCGGCAUAUGGAGGUUCCCAGGCUAGGGGUCCAAUCGGAGCUGUAGCCACCAGCCUACACCAAUGCCACAGCAACUCGGGAUCCGAGCCGAGUCUGCAACCUACACCACAGCUCACGGCAACGCCGGAUCGUUAACCCACUGAGCAAGGGCAGGGAUCGAACCUGCAACCUCAUGGUUCCUAGUUGGAUUCGUUAACCACUGCGCCACGAGGGGAACUCCUAGACAGGUCUUAAAACUGCUACAGCUACCAUGGCUUUGAUCAGAGUGAUGGGUUUUGAACCAUGGUUGUGCAGAGGUCUGAUAAUCCAGACACUGACCUGAGUUUCUCCACUACAAGGACAGAACUGUAGCAUUUCCUCUCCUAACCAUUUCUCUCAAAACAUAAAUAUAUAUUUCCACGUACCUGUGUCCACUCUUGAGCUCAGCAGCAAAGAAGCAAAGCAUUUCACUGGCCUGGGCAAAACAGACUCUUUCAAAUUACUUUUCUCUGGUUUGGAAUCUGUGGCCUGGAGCUCAGCCUCAGGAAGACAACCUGGACUUCUUUAAGAUUAAGUUAAAUUCAAAGAGGAAAAUAGAUGUUCCUGCUCUCCUUCAGCCUCUGAAAGAUGCCAUGAAACUUUGCUGAUGUAACUGGAUAAUGGGGUUCUUUAUAAUAAGUAAAGCGGCCAAUACUGCCGGUUCAAAUACCUUCUCAGGCUGGCAGAAUGGCAAUGCAUCAGGAGAGCAUUUAAAGUAAACUGCUUUUCUUAUUUUAGCUAGCAUCAUUUUUUUGAAUGUUAAAUAUGAACCCUAUUACAUUACUCGAGAAAAUGUGGAUGGAGCUUUGAAGCAGACCCUGGAAUUGUUAACUUGGGAGAAGCAGCGUAGGUGCCAAAAAGCCCAAGCAUGUGCACUUUGAAAUGAAUAUCGCAGCUCAGUGACAUUGCUGUGUAACCCGGAGAAAUCACGUAACCUCUUGGUGCCUCAGUUUCCUCAUUUGUCAAGUAGGGAGAAGCUGAUGAUAAAUGCUCACCAACGUUCAACUUUCAAGAAACACGGAGGGCAGAAAUGCUUUGAGUUUAAUUUCUACCCUCCGGCCCCCAUCUACAAGGAAGAAGAAUGAGCAAAAGGGAGCGAUCAUAAGACUUUGACCUAGAAUUUCUGCCUCCAAUAAUUUCACAUAACCUUUCUGAGGCUCUGUUUCCUUAUCUGUAAACAGCAGACGGCCCUCCCUGUACAGCCCAUAUCCCAAGGCUUUGGGGCUAAUCAAAUGAGAUAAUGUAUGCAAAAGAGCACUGUAACUCUUCUGCCUCUGCAGCUGUCAAUGUCUGUGUUUAAAAAAAAAAAAAAAUAACCUGGUGAAUUGAUCAGGUUCUAAGGCACUAGUAUUAAGAAAGUAGGAAGAAAGGGCAGGACCUUUUGCUUGGAACUGAUAAAGCAACAAAGAUUCAACAAAAAUAUCCAGAGCAGGCGAUGAUGAGACCACUGUACGUGUACUCUAGGAAGCAGCAGAAAGGGGAAAGGAGGAAGGGUAGGGAUAACUGGUUUGGAUGGAGGGCCAACUAGAGAGGGAGUGAGGGAUGGUGGUUUAUGGUAUGAAUCCCAUUGCCUGGUUCUGAUCCUGAAUACAACACUUCUAGGCUGCAAUAUUCUGUGUCUCGGGUUCUUACCUGUAAAAUCGGGAUAAUAAUAUGCCCCCCCAGUGAAGUUGUUAUGAAAAUUAGUUCUUAACAAGUGCUUAGAAAUUGAGAGCUCCCCACCUAGUAAAUGUUCAGUAUAUGUUAUAUUUAUUCAUUCAUUUAUUCCACUUGUUUAACAAGUAUGUAUUAAGAGUUCACUCCUUGUCAACCCCUGUUUUAGGAACUGGGCAUACAGUUGUGAGCAGAACAAAAUCCCUGCCCUCAAGGAGCUUGGAGUGUGUUCUAGAGCAGUUCCAGAAAAGCAAUAGACAAAUGAUCAGUUCAUGAAAAAUAUGAUGGAUAAAAGUAAGAGGGGAUAAGAGAUGAAGGGGUUGCAAUUGGCCAAGGAGACUUCCUUUUUUCUGCCAUAUGUUGAGCAUGUAGCAAAGGGACAGUGGGCAGCCCAGGUACCCCUCAGGAAGGGGGUGCUCAUUCUGCCUACUCUCAGGAUCUCUGGCUGCUGCUCCAAGACCCAGGCAAAUAGAGCUUUCAUCUCAUGUCCUUUCUCAGAAGGCUGCCUGAAUCUAUGACUGGUCACGGUGGAAGUACCAAACCCCACCACUAGUCCUCAACUGGGACAACUCAGAAGGGUCAUCCCAGCUCCCUAUGGGAUUGCUGGAGGUCUCCACUGAAACUGCAUCAUGGUCCAGCUUCUUCCUCCGUCCAAUCCUGCAUCCCUCCCCAUCACAGACUUUUCUGAGCUCACUCCCCAAUUUGCCUCCUCCACACAAACCUCACUCUUUCCCAGGAAUCUGACCUAUAACAAAAGCCAAAUAACUUGCACAAUAUCUUUCAGCAAAAAGUGGUGGAGUGAGGAUUUACUCCUGGGGGUGCCUGCAUAUGCAGUUUGGAGCCUCUUCUGUUGUUAUCAGCAGUAGCACAUUCCAGUCUGCUCCAGUCAGCAAGGCAGCAGGAAACUUGAAUUUCUUGGAAUUUCUGAGCAACCCAGAGCAUGAGGAUGGAUGUGUCACUGGAAAAGAAAAGGAGAGGAGAGGUUAAUUUCAAGAGAAGGCAUUACAUUCUCCCCAUAGAAACAUGAUGUUGAUAAAAAUGCACCACAACAUUUUGUAAACAAAUUUUAAUAUUUUAGAAUUUGAUUUAUUUUUUACUACAAAUUCUUGGUGCUUUUGUAAUAAAGGUAUAAUGGUUUGGUUUUUUGGUUUUUUUGGCCAUGCCUGCAGCAUGCAGAACUUCCCAGGCCAGGGAUUGAACCUGUGCUGCAGCAGCAACCACAGCCCCAGAAGUGUCAACACUAGAUCCUUAACCUGUUGAGUGAUGAGGCAGCUCCUAACGGUUUAUUUUAUAUAAAAUUUUAAAAAUAAACCUCUUUCCAGAGUUUCCGUCUUGGCUCAGUGGUUAACGAAUCCUACUAGAAACUAGGUUGUGGGUUCGAUCCCUGGCCUCGCUCAGUGGGUUAAGAAUCUGGGGUUGCCCUGAGCUGUGGUGUAGGUCACAGAGGCGGCUCAGAUCCCGUGUUGCUGUGGCUGUGGUGUAGGCCAGCGGCUACAUCUCUGAUCAUAGCCCUAGCCUGGGAACCUCCAUACUCCAUGGGUGCAGCCCUAGAAAAAGACAAAAAAAUAAAAAUAAAAAUAAACCUCUUUCCAAAUAAGUUCUCCUUUAGUUUGGUUUUCUAUCAAGUCUGUUUUUCUAUAUUUUAGGAUGUCAUUUAUAGCUUGGGAUAAAGUAAUUUUGGGGGAGCCCCCAAAAGUGAUUUUACUCCUAAUCUCAGCCAUGCACAUAUUUUUAUAUCUGGAUGUCUUUUUUUUUUUUUUUUUCAGGGCCAUACCUAUGGCAAAUGGAAGUUCCCAGGCUAUGGGAAAAAUUGGAACUGCAGCUGCCAGUCUACACCACAGCCACAGCAAUGCCAGAUCCGAGCCACAUCUGUAACCUAUGCCACAACUUACAGCAAUGCCACAUCCUUAACCCACUGAGUGAGGCCAGGGAUCAAACCCACAUCUUCAUGGAUACUAGUCAGGUUCCUUACCACUGAGCCACAAGGAAACUCCAGAUAUCUGGAUGUCAUGAAGGAUACCUACCUUUGGCUCCAGCCUGGAUCCCAUAGUAGGUCCAGAAGCUGGAAGUAUGGUAAAUAGACACCACAGAGUGAGGAAAGGAAUACAGAAAUUCUUUAGGUGUUGGAAGGAAUCAGGGAGACAAAAGAAUAUUAGAGUGGAUAUAGUGAAAUCUUAUGCAGAACCAAAACAAGAACGUGAAGAAAACACCAAAUUCACCUAAUUUUUAUAAUUCAGAACAGUUGCAAAAAGGAAAAGUUAAUGUAAAGUAUAUCAGUUUGAAAACUGCAUUCUUAUAACCCUUCUCUAUAGAAAGGGAUAUUAGGUUUUAAAGGGGUAUAUACCGAGAUUUACAAGAAGUAAGUGACAUCCCAAAUUUACAUUUGUGAGUGGAGAGAGAGUACUUCAACCCUGAUUGGGGCAUCCCAGUGCUAAGCCCUAAAGUAGCAGGAAUUCAUUCUAUGGUCAUUGGAAACACAACGCAACUCAGGAAACAAGUUCCAGUUCUUUCAUUGUCCUACUCUUCCUGCCCGAGAUGCAACAUUGUAACCCUUGUUAAAUUUGAGCCAGGCAAGUAGAUUCUUUGAGUUUAUCUGCAAGCCUGUGUAAAAUUAUUACCCUCCCUGGAUAUACAGUUUUUCCCUUUAUCUGAGAUUUUACU
ensembl:lncRNA